AGGACGAACGCUGGCGGCGUGCUUAACACAUGCAAGUCGAACGGAAAGGCCCCCUUGUGGGGUACUCGAGUGGCGAACGGGUGAGUAACACGUGAGUAACCUACCUUGACUUUGGGAUAACCUCAGGAAACUGGGGCUAAUACCGGAUAGGAGCUCCUGCUGCAUGGUGGGGGUUGGAAAGUUUCGGCGGUUGGGGAUGGACUCGCGGCUUAUCAGCUUGUUGGUGGGGUAGUGGCUCACCAAGGCUUUGACGGGUAGCCGGCCUGAGAGGGUGACCGGCCACAUUGGGACUGAGAUACGGCCCAGACUCCUACGGGAGGCAGCAGUGGGGAAUAUUGCACAAUGGGCGGAAGCCUGAUGCAGCAACGCCGCGUGCGGGAUGACGGCCUUCGGGUUGUAAACCGCUUUCGCCUGUGACGAAGCGUGAGUGGCGGUAAUGGGUAAAGAAGCACCGGCUAACUACGUG
rnacentral:rRNA from 1 species